rnacentral:rRNA from 1 species
GACGAACGCUGGCGGCGUGCUUAACACAUGCAAGUCGAACGGAAAGGCCCUGCUUUUGUGGGGUGCUCGAGUGGCGAACGGGUGAGUAACACGUGAGUAACCUGCCCUUGACUUUGGGAUAACUUCAGGAAACUGGGGCUAAUACCGGAUAGGAGCUCCUGCUGCAUGGUGGGGGUUGGAAAGUUUCGGCGGUUGGGGAUGGACUCGCGGCUUAUCAGCUUGUUGGUGGGGUAGUGGCUUACCAAGGCUUUGACGGGUAGCCGGCCUGAGAGGGUGACCGGUCACAUUGGGACUGAGAUACGGACCAGACUCCUACGGGAGGCAGCAGUGGGGAAUAUUGCACAAUGGGCGGGAGCCUGAUGCAGCGACGCCGCGUGCGGGAUGACGGCCUUCGGGUUGUAAACCGCUUUCGCCUGUGACGAAGCGUGAGUGACGGUAAUGGGUAAAGAAGCACCGGCUAACUACGUG